UUUUUUCUAUCGCAGAUACGCCAUCGUGAUGUUCCUCGUCAUCGGUACCUUCUUGUGGGCCUGUCUGACGUUGGCGAAUUCACAAGAUCCUGAGUGUUCGCCCAUCAACUGUUUACCAGGAUGGAGAGGUGGAUGCUUGAUCAGCGCAAACAAUUGUCAGUGCUUGUGUGUGAAAAACCAGAAUCCUUGCCAAUUUAUCGCUCAGAACUUCCAAAGCAGCUGCUCAUCUAAUCAGUUUAUCGAUUGCAACCCAGAUGUAUCUCCGUGCUUGUGUC